UACGAAGGGGGCUAGCGUUGCUCGGAAUCACUGGGCGUAAAGCGCACGUAGGCGGAUUGCUAAGUCAGGGGUGAAAUCCCGAGGCUCAACCUCGGAACUGCCUUUGAUACUGGGGAUCUCGAGUCCGGGAGAGGUGAGUGGAACUGCGAGUGUAGAGGUGAAAUUCGUAGAUAUUCGCAAGAACACCAGUGGCGAAGGCGGCUCACUGGCCCGGAACUGACGCUGAGGUGCGAAAGCGUGGGGGAGCAAACAGG
rnacentral:rRNA from 1 species